GUCCCGCAACGAGCGCAACCCUAUUGUUAGUUGCCAUCAUUCAGUUUGGGCACUCUAGCGAGACUGCCGGUAAUAACCGGAGAAGGUGGGGAUGACGUCAAAUCAUCAUGCCCCUUAUGACCUGGGCUACACACGUGCUACAAUGGUUGGUACAACGAGUUGCGAGUCGGUGACGGCGAGCUAAUCUCUUAAAGCCAAUCUCAGUUCGGAUUGUAGGCUGCAACUCGCCUACAUGAAGUCGGAAUCGCUAGUAGUCGCGGAUCAGCACGCCGCGGUGAAUACGUUCCCGGGCCUU
rnacentral:rRNA from 1 species